rnacentral:rRNA from 2 species
AAAUUGAAGAGUUUGAUCAUGGCUCAGAUUGAACGCUGGCGGCAGGCCUAACACAUGCAAGUCGAACGGUAACAGGAAGCAGCUUGCUGCUUCGCUGACAAGUGGCGGACGGGUGAGUAAUGUCUGGGAAACUGCCUGAUGGAGGGGGAUAACUACUGGAAACGGUGGCUAAUACCGCAUGACGUCGCAAGACCAAAGAGGGGGACCUUCGGGCCUCUUGCCAUCAGAUGUGCCCAGAUGGGAUUAGCUU